CUGGGAUUACAGGUGUGAGCCACUGUGCCUGGCCUAAGCAAGAGUUUUUAAAGGGAGGGGUAAAUUUCAGAAAAGCAGAAGUUACAGGCAAAAUUGUAUAUCAGUAAAUGAGGUUAUACAUUGGUUUGGCCUAAAAAGAUGGAAUAUCUUUUUUUUUUUGGUGGGGGAGAUGAGGUCUCACUCUGUUGCUCAGGCUGGAGUGCAGUGGUGGGAUCAUAGCUCACUGCAGCCUGGAUCUCCCAGGCUCAAAUCAAGCAAUCCUGCCACCUCAGCCUCCCAAGUAGCUGGGACUACAGGCAUACAACCAUGCCCAGCUAAUUUUUUUUAUUUUUUAUGGAGAUGAGGUCUCACUAUAUUGCCUAGGCUGGUCUUAAACUCCUGGGCUCAAGCAAUCCUCCUGCCUCAGCCUCCCAAAGUGUUGGGAUUACAGGCAUGAGCCACCACACCCGGCUCCAGUGGGUCCAUUUGAUGUGGGUCUGGGUUUCUGAAAAACAACUCAGGGACAUAUGUUAAGAUGUUAUCUUUAGUUUUUAUAAAGAACCAAACAUCUUAUGACUCAAACUUCUUAGGCUGUUGUUUUGAGCUACUAUUACUUUCUUGCUUAUCAAGUUGCUCAGGGCUAGCUAGGUGUGGGGAAUUUCCCUUAAAGGAACUCGAGAUUUUCCCUUACUUCCAUACUUGGUUGGGAGAGUCAGGCAGGCCCCUAAGAGGGGUCCCUGCUCCAUCUCAAAAUCUGUAACAGAGGACUUAACCAAAUCUGGGAGGAAGGCCUUGAUGAGAGGAAGACCUGAAGAGUUGAGACCUGAAAAGUGUGUAGGAGUUAGCCGGGUGAAAUGCAGAGGUGGGUAGAAGCUUUUCUGGCGGAGGGAAACCCUAGUGUCAAGGGAGAGCGCAUGGAGUGAAGCACUUCCUGAGGCUGGAGCAGAAAGAGGAGAUCCAGCAGAGCCAAUGAUAGGCUUUGCUGAGAAUCCCUAAACAGCUCUUGAUGCAUUUAAAGAAGGCAAUGCCAAUCCAUUAGAAAAGAACAUUGGUGUCAAAACAGUCUUGUUUAAAGCUGAAUACCUGUGUGCUCUCUUUGGCAGCACAUAUACUAAAACUGAAAUGAUACAGAGAAGAUUAGCAUGGCCCCUGCACAAGGAUGAUAGGCAAAUUCAUGAACUGUUCCAUAGUAAAACAAACAUACAAAAAGGCUGACUACGGCCAGGUGCAGUGGCUCACAACUGUAAUCCUAGCACUUUGGGAGGCCAAGGCAGGUGGAUUGCCUGAGCUCAGGCAUUCAAGACCAGGCUGGGCAACACGGUGAAACCCCAUCUCUAAUAAAAUACAAAAAAUUAGUCGGGUGUGACCAGCCUGGGCAACACCAUGAAACCCUGUCUCUACUAAAACACAAAAAAUUGGCCAGGCAUGGUGGACUGCGCCUGUAAUCCCAGCUACUUGGGAGGUUGAGGCAGGAGAAUUGCUUGAACCUGAGAGGCGGAGGUGCAGUGAGCAGAGCUCAAGCUCGCACCAUUGCACUCCAGCCUGGGCGACAGAGUGAGACUCCGCCUCCAAAAAAAAAAAUGCUGACUAUCUGACUACACUCCUGUAAUCUCAGCACUUUGGGAGGCAGAGGCCGGAGGAUCGCUUAAGCCCGGGAGUUCAAGAUCAGCGUGGGCAACAUAAUGAGACCCCUAUCUCUACAAAACAAUUCAAAUAUUAGCUGGGCCUGGUGGCACACGCCUGUGGUCCCAGCUACAUGGGAGGAUUCCUUGAGCCCAAGAGAUUGAGGCUGCAGUGAGCUAUGAUAGCACCACUGGACUCCAGCCUGGGAGAAAGAGCAAGA
rnacentral:lncRNA from 10 species